rnacentral:rRNA from 1 species
ACGUAUGGUGCAAGCGUUAUCCGGAUUUACUGGGUGUAAAGGGAGCGCAGGCGGUGCGGCAAGUCUGAUGUGAAAGCCCGGGGCUCAACCCCGGUACUGCAUUGGAAACUGUCGUGCUAGAGUGUCGGAGGGGUAAGCGGAAUUCCUAGUGUAGCGGUGAAAUGCGUAGAUAUUAGGAGGAACACCAGUGGCGAAGGCGGCUUACUGGACGAUAACUGACGCUGAGGCUCGAAAGCGUGGGGAGCAAACAG